AAGACAUAUUAAUUUAUUUUACAAAUAGACAGUAACAUUAACAGACAGUUUUCUGACUCUGUGAUUGCCUCCAUUUUUGUCACUCACCAGUUAUGAAGUAGAUCAAUCCUAUAUUUAUAUAGUCUUCCUUCUUCAUAUUCUGUUAUUUUCAUUAAAAGUUGACAAAGAUCAGUGACUAUGCAAAUUAUAGAUUACAAAUACCGAUCCUUCCACUCUCCAAAUUCCCACUUCCAACGUCUCGCGCGUUUUCAAGUUUGCGCCUUUUCAAAAAUCUACGGUAGAGCUAAGAAAUACGUUAGUUUCGAAUUUCCAAGAUUUCUGUUUAAAAAAAAAUAACAAAUACUAUCUGAAUAAUUUUUCACUGAAAAUACAAUUUUUUUUAUACCAAAAUAAGUUUUAUCAAUGAAGAAUUCGAACUUUUUACGUCAUCAAUUAAAUUGGACUAAGAUUUCAAUAACAUCGGGAUCGAAGUCGGGCUCGAUGAACAAUUAAUUUUAACAACACCGAAAUUCAAAAAUAUCGAAUGCCAUGUUCAUCAUGUUGAUGUUCCACAGAAGGAAAGUUGGAACGAGUGCCAUGAACAGGGGGAUCAUGGUCAGUUUGGGAUGGAAGAAGAUGACGACAUUUUUAAGACCGUUGCUGCUAUGCCUGAGAUGAUUUUCACAGCCCUGGCCUUUGAUAAAGUGCAUAUAGUGAUAUACAUGUACUCGUGUAGAUGCUUAACCAAUCAGUCUUUAGGCUUGUGAAUAUGGAAUCCGGAUGCUCACAAGAUUUAGGACAAGAACUGUAUAAAAAAAUGAAAUUGUGCAAGGAAAGUUUGAAGUGUCCGUUGGAAUGAUCAACAUCGAACUUGCUGAGUUUUCGUACUUAAAGUGAAUCCGUUGGUGACGCCAUUUAUCUGUCAACCCUCUAUUGCAAAUUUCAUGGGAUAUCUGAGGAUGUGAUUCUAACAACAUGUCAGAAGUUUUGUAUCUUCCAUAAUUGGGAUCUUUGGCACGUACAUUGGUGGAAAAUAGCAAAUGUUCAUUUUAUGGGAUCUUUGUACAUGUUGUAUCAAUGUAGUUGUGUACUACAUAUAUUUUUGCAUUUAAUACAUGUGUUUGUCACUCUAGUCACUUAAACUCUGUACAGUAAGUGAACAUGGGCUACUGGCACUUUAUUGUGAAUGUAUAUACUGUUGAGGUUUCAAUGACCUCUCCCAAUCCUUGACCAAUGUCAUUUAAUGAAUCUAACCUCUUAUUUAAAAAAAAAUGUAUACUUUAGUUUACUACAUACAUGUAUAUCAUAACUUGAUUAUCACUAAUUUAACCAAGGCGAUCCCCCAGUAAUCUUUUUUUUCUUGGAUAUUUCUGUUAAUAACCUUUGAUGUAAAAUACUUUGCAGUUUCAUUGAGAAUACAAACAUUUAAAAAAGUAUGCUUUAAUAUUGUACAUCUGAGUGG